rnacentral:rRNA from 1 species
CCCGCUGAACUUAAGCAUAUCAAUAAGCGGAGGAAAAGAAACCAACAGGGAUUGCCUCAGUAACGGCGAGUGAAGCGGCAACAGCUCAAAUUUGAAAUCUGGCCCCCCACAGGGUCCCGAGUUGUAAUUUGUAGAGGAGAUCUUCGGGUUUGGCCCCGGCCUAAGUUCCUUGGAACAGGACGUCACAGAGGGUGAGAAUCCCGUAUGUGGCUGGAAGUCUAUGCCCACGUGAAGCUCCUUCGACGAGUCGAGUUGUUUGGGAAUGCAGCUCAAAAUGGGUGGUAAGUUUCAUCUAAAGCUAAAUACCGGCGGGAGACCGAUAGCGCACAAGUAGAGUGAUCGAAAGAUGAAAAGCACUUCGGAAAGAGAGUUAAAAAGUACGUGAAAUUGUUGAAAGGGAAGCGCUUGCAACCAGACUUGCCCUCGGCUGAUCAACCGGUGUUCCUCACCGGUGCACUCGGUCGUGGUCAGGCCAGCAUCGGUCUGGGCGGUUGGAGAAAGACCCUGUGGAAUGUGGCUCCCUUCGGGGAGUGUUAUAGCCCAGGGUGUCAUGCAGCCAGCCUGGACCGAGGACCGCGCCUUCGGGCUAGGAUGCUGGCAUAAUGGUUGUAAGCGACCCGUCUUGAAACACGG